UACGUAGGGUGCAAGCGUUAAUCGGAAUUACUGGGCGUAAAGCGUGCGCAGGCGGCGCCGCAAGUCAGGCGUGAAACUCCCCGAGCUCAACUUGGGAAUUGGCGCUUGAAACUACGGUGCUGGAGUAUGGCAGAGGGAGGUGGAAAUUCCACGUGUAGCGGUGAAAUGCGUAGAGAUGUGGAGGAACACCGAUGGCGAAGGCAGCCUCCUGGGCCAAUAACGUG
rnacentral:rRNA from 1 species